GUAGGGAAUAUUGGACAAUGGGGGCAACCCUGAUCCAGCGACGCCGCGUGAGUGACGAAGGCCUUCGGGUCGUAAAGCUCUGUUGCAAGGGAAAAACAAAAUGAUGGUACCUUGCUAGAAAGGAUCGGCUAACUUCGUGCCAGCAGCCGCGGUAAGACGAGGGAUCCUAGCGUUGUUCGGAAUUAUUGGGCGUAAAGCGGGUGUAGGUGGCUUUGUAAGUCAGGUGUGAAAGCCUGGGGCUUAACCCCAGAAGUGCAUUUGAUACUGCGAUGCUUGAGUGCUGGAGAGGCUACUAGAAUUCUUGGUGUAGUGGUGAAAUACGUAGAUAUCAAGAGGAAUACCGGAGGCGAAGGCGGGUAGCUGGCCAGACACUGACACUCAGACCCGAAAGCGUGGGGAUCAAACAGGAUUAGAAACCCGUGUAGUCC
rnacentral:rRNA from 1 species